rnacentral:rRNA from 1 species
GACGAACGCUGGCGGCGUGCUUAACACAUGCAAGUCGAACGGAAAGGCCCUGCUUUUGUGGGGUGCUCGAGUGGCGAACGGUUGAGUAACACGUGAGUAACCUGCCCUUGACUUUGGGAUAACUUCAGGAAACUGGGGCUAAUACCGGGUAGGAGCUCCUGCUGCAUGGUGGGGGUUGGAAAGUUUCGGCGGUUGGGGAUGGACUCGCGGCUUAUCAGCUUGUUGGUGGGGUAGUGGCUUACCAAGGCUUUGACGGGUAGCCGGCCUGAGAGGGUGACCGGCCACAUUGGGACUGAGAUACGGCCCAGACUCCUACGGGAGGCAGCAGUGGGGAAUAUUGCACAAUGGGCGGAAGCCUGAUGCAGCAACGCCGCGUGCGGGAUGACGGCCUUCGGGUUGUAAACCGCUUUCGCCUGUGACGAAGCGUGAGUGACGGUAAUGGGUAAAGAAGCACCGGCUAACUACGUG